AGUGAACGCUGGCGGUAGGCCUAACACAUGCAGGUCGAACGGCAGCACAGUAAGAGCUUGCUCUUACGGGUGGCGAGUGGCGGACGGGUGAGGAAUACAUCGGAAUCUACUUUUUCGUGGGGGAUAACGUAGGGAAACUUACGCUAAUACCGCAUACGACCUACGGGUGAAAGCAGGGGAUCUUCGGACCUUGCGCGAUUGAAUGAGCCGAUGUCGGAUUAGCUAGUUGGCGGGGUAAAGGCUCACCAAGGCGACGAUCAGUAGCUGGUCUGAGAGGACGAUCAGCCACACUGGGACUGAGACACGGCCCAGACUCCUACGGGAGGCAGCAGUGGGGAAUUUUGGACAAUGGGCGAAAGCCUGAUCCAGCAAUGCCGCGUGUGUGAAGAAGGCCUUCGGGUUGUAAAGCACUUUUGUCCGGAAAGAAAUGGCUCUGGUUAAUACCUGGGGUCGAUGACGGUACCGGAAGAAUAAGGACCGGCUAACUACGU
rnacentral:rRNA from 1 species